rnacentral:rRNA from 1 species
AUCAACUUUCGAUGGUAGGAUAGAGGCCUACCAUGGUGGUAACGGGUAACGGGGUGUUAGGGCACGACACCGGAGAGGGAGCCUGAGAAACGGCUACCACAUCCAAGGAUGGCAGCAGGCGCGCAAAUUACCCAAUCCCGACACGGGGAGGUAGUGACAAUAAAUAACAAUACGGGGUCCUUUCGGGUUUCGUAAUUGGAAUGAGUACAAUUUAAAUCUCUUAACGAGGAACAAUUGGAGGGCAAGUCUGGUGCCAGCAGCCGCGGUAAUUCCAGCUCCAAUAGCGUAUAUUAAAGUUGUUGCAGUUAAAAAGCUCGUAGUUGAAUUUCGGGAUCAGUACGCUGGUCGUGCCUUCGGUAUGUACUGGUGUUACUGGUUCCUACCUUCUGACGAACCGUCAUGUCAUUAAUUUGGUGUGGCGGGAAAUCAGGACUGUUACUUUGAAAAAAUUAGAGUGUUUAAAGCAGGCUCGCGCUUGAAUACAUUAGCAUGGAAUAAUGAAAUAGGACGUUCGAUCCUAUUUUGUUGGUUUCUAGGAUUGACGUAAUGAUUAAUAGGGAUAGUUGGGGGCAUUAGUAUUCAAUUGUCAGAGGUGAAAUUCUUGGAUUUAUUGAAGACUAACUACUGCGAAAGCAUUUGCCAAGGAUGUUUUCAUUAAUCAAGAACGAAAGUUAGGGGAUCGAAGACGAUCAGAUACCGUCGUAGUCUUAACCAUAAACUAUGCCGACUAGGGAUCGGACGAUGUUAUUUUUAAUGACUCAUUCGGCGCCUUACGGGAAACCAAAGUGUUUGGGUUC